CCUACGGGUGACAGCAGUGAGGAAUAUUGGUCAAUGGGCGCGAGCCUGAACCAGCCAAGCCGCGUGAAGGAGGACGGCCCUAAGUGUUGUAAACUUCUUUUGUCAAGGAAUAAAGACAGGUACGCGUCCCUGUAUGUAUGUACCUUAUGAAUAAGGAUCGGCUAACUCCGUGCCAGCAGCCGCGGUAAUACGGAGGAUCCGAGCGUUAUCCGGAUUUAUUGGGUUUAAAGGGUGCGUAGGCGGGUUGUUAAGUCAGCUGUGAAAGCCUGAGGCUCAACCGCAGAAUUGCCUUUGAUACUGGCAGUCUUGAGUGGAGUUGAGGGAGGCGGAAUGCGUGGUGUAGCGGUGAAAUGCUUAGAGAUCACGCAGAACACCGAUUGCGAAGGCAGCUUACCAAGCUACCACUGACGUUGAGGCACGAAAGCGUGGGUAUCAAACAGGAUUAGAUACCCGUGUAGUC
rnacentral:rRNA from 1 species